UACGUAGGGUGCAAGCGUUAAUCGGAAUUAUUGGGCGUAAAGCGCGCGUAGGCGGUUACUCAAGUCGGAUGUGAAAGCCCUCGGCUUAACUGAGGAAGUGCACCCGAAACUGAGUAGCUAGAGUACUAAAGAGGGUCGCGGAAUUCCCGGUGUAGAGGUGAAAUUCGUAGAUAUCGGGAGGAACACCGGUGGCGAAGGCGGCGACCUGGGUAGAUACUGACGCUGAGGCGCGAAAGCGUGGGGAGCAAACAGG
rnacentral:rRNA from 1 species